rnacentral:rRNA from 1 species
UACGUAGGGCGCGAGCGUUGUCCGGAAUCAUUGGGCGUAAAGAGCUCGUAGGCGGCCGGUUGCGUCUGCUGUGAAAUCCCGGGGCUUAACCCCGGGCGUGCAGUGGAUACGGGCUGGCUGGAGGCAGGCAGGGGAGAAUGGAAUUCCCGGUGCAGCGGUGAAAUGCGCAGAUAUCGGGAGGAACACCGGUGGCGAAGGCGGUUCUCUGGGCCUGUGCUGACGCUGAGGAGCGAAAGCGUGGGGAGCGAACAGG